AGGUAAUUCCUGAUAGUACCGCCAUACUACACUGUGUUUCGUGCGGAAAUUCCAAAUCACAAUUUCCAAAUUACAAACAAAAAUUCAAAUUCCAAAUUCAAAAUCACAAACGGAGAAUCUUCGUUUUUAGGUUUCGGGCUUUGGAGAUUGGAUAUUGUUUGGAAUUUGGUGCUUGGGUAUUGGGAUUUCCGACACACGGAGCGUAGCGUAGUGUGUCGGUUAAAGUCGCAAGACGCUUUUGGAACGGCCUGUUCGGUAUCAGCUAGUUGGUGAGGUAAAAGCUCACCAAGGCUAUGACGCCUAGGGGACCUGAGAGGGUGACCCCCACCGAUGGAACUGAGAAACGGUCCAUACACCUACGGGUGGCUGCAGUCGAGAAUCUUCCGCAAUGGACGAAAGUCUGACGGAGCGACGCCGCGUGCAGGAUGAAGUCCUUCGGGAUGUAAACUGCUUUUGUGGGAUAGAAAGUUUAUUGAUCAUCCCAAGAAUAAGAGGUUACUAAACUCGUGCCAGCAGUAGCGGUAAUACGAGUGCCUCAAGCGUUAUCCGGAAUUACUGGGCGUAAAGGGUGUGUAGGCGGCUAUGUUAGUCUUCUGUCAAAUUCUUCGGCUUAACCGGGGGCUCGCAGAAGAAACGGCAUGGCUUGAGGGUGCAAGAGGUUUGCGGAACUCAUGGUGUAGGGGUGAAAUCCGUUGAUAUCAUGGGGAACACCGAAAGCGAAGGCAGCAAACUGGUGCACUCCUGACGCUGAAACACGAAAGCGUGGGUAGCGAAUGGGAUUGACGUUCAUCCGCAAGGUGCGGAUUCACUUGAAAUACAGUGAUGCGUAGGGGUACGUAGAACAUAGUUCCCUCCGACAAUGUCGGAGAAAAAACCUAGCUAUAUGCUGGAAAACCCGAGUAUCCAACAAUACCUGUAAGUUCAGGUGAAAAUUUGUUGGUGCGGACAAUCAGCAGGGAAGACUAGAAAAUUAACUUAUGCCUAAAUACAGGAUAACUUUCAGAUGGCAUCACACUGGUCUUGGUGAUAAACCAAAGGGACCAGCUGGUGAAGAAAAGACGGUUGAAAUUGACACAGAAAAAAAUAUGGCAUACGACGGC
rnacentral:rRNA from 1 species